UUUAUGGGGUGACUGCGUACCUUUUGUAUAAUGGGUCAGCGACUUAUAUUCUGUAGCAAGGUUAACCGAAUAGGGGAGCCGAAGGGAAACCGAGUCUUAACUGGGCGUUAAGUUGCAGGGUAUAGACCCGAAACCCGGUGAUCUAGCCAUGGGCAGGUUGAAGGUUGGGUAACACUAACUGGAGGACCGAACCGACUAAUGUUGAAAAAUUAGCGGAUGACUUGUGGCUGGGGGUGAAAGGCCAAUCAAACCGGGAGAUAGCUGGUUCUCCCCGAAAGCUAUUUAGGUAGCGCCUCGUGAAUUCAUCUCCGGGGGUAGAGCACUGUUUCGGCAAGGGGGUCAUCCCGACUUACCAACCCGAUGCAAACUGCGAAUACCGGAGAAUGUUAUCACGGGAGACACACGGCGGGUGCUAACGUCCGUCGUGAAGAGGGAAACAACCCAGACCGCCAGCUAAGGUCCCAAAGUCAUGGUUAAGUGGGAAACGAUGUGGGAAGGCCCAGACAGCCAGGAUGUUGGCUUAGAAGCAGCCAUCAUUUAAAGAAAGCGUAAUAGCUCACUGGUCGAGUCGGCCUGCGCGGAAGAUGUAACGGGGCUAAACCAUGCACCGAAGCUGCGGCAGCGACACUAUGUGUUGUUGGGUAGGGGAGCGUUCUGUAAGCCUGCGAAGGUGUACUGUGAGGUAUGCUGGAGGUAUCAGAAGUGCGAAUGCUGACAUAAGUAACGAUAAAGCGGGUGAAAAGCCCGCUCGCCGGAAGACCAAGGGUUCCUGUCCAACGUUAAUCGGGGCAGGGUGAGUCGACCCCUAAGGCGAGGCCGAAAGGCGUAGUCGAUGGGAAACAGGUUAAUAUUCCUGUACUUGGUGUUACUGCGAAGGGGGGACGGAGAAGGCUAUGUUGGCCGGGCGACGGUUGUCCCGGUUUAAGCGUGUAGGCUGGUUUUCCAGGCAAAUCCGGAAAAUCAAGGCUGAGGCGUGAUGACGAGGCACUACGGUGCUGAAGCAACAAAUGCCCUGCUUCCAGGAAAAGCCUCUAAGCAUCAGGUAACAUCAAAUCGUACCCCAAACCGACACAGGUGGUCAGGUAGAGAAUACCAAGGCGCUUGAGAGAACUCGGGUGAAGGAACUAGGCAAAAUGGUGCCGUAACUUCGGGAGAAGGCACGCUGAUAUGUAGGUGAAGUCCCUCGCGGAUGGAGCUGAAAUCAGUCGAAGAUACCAGCUGGCUGCAACUGUUUAUUAAAAACACAGCACUGUGCAAACACGAAAGUGGACGUAUACGGUGUGACGCCUGCCCGGUGCCGGAAGGUUAAUUGAUGGGGUUAGCGGUAACGCGAAGCUCUUGAUCGAAGCCCCGGUAAACGGCGGCCGUAACUAUAACGGUCCUAAGGUAGCGAAAUUCCUUGUCGGGUAAGUUCCGACCUGCACGAAUGGCGUAAUGAUGGCCAGGCUGUCUCCACCCGAGACUCAGUGAAAUUGAACUCGCUGUGAAGAUGCAGUGUACCCGCGGCAAGACGGAAAGACCCCGUGAACCUUUACUAUAGCUUGACACUGAACAUUGAGCCUUGAUGUGUAGGAUAGGUGGGAGGCUUUGAAGUGUGGACGCCAGUCUGCAUGGAGCCGGCCUUGAAAUACCACCCUUUAAUGUUUGAUGUUCUAACGUUGGCCCCUGAUCGGGGUUGCGGACAGUGUCUGGUGGGUAGUUUGACUGGGGCGGUCUCCUCCUAAAGAGUAACGGAGGAGCACGAAGGUUGGCUAAUCCUGGUCGGACAUCAGGAGGUUAGUGCAAUGGCAUAAGCCAGCUUGACUGCGAGCGUGACGGCGCGAGCAGGUGCGAAAGCAGGUCAUAGUGAUCCGGUGGUUCUGAAUGGAAGGGCCAUCGCUCAACGGAUAAAAGGUACUCCGGGGAUAACAGGCUGAUACCGCCCAAGAGUUCAUAUCGACGGCGGUGUUUGGCACCUCGAUGUCGGCUCAUCACAUCCUGGGGCUGAAGUAGGUCCCAAGGGUAUGGCUGUUCGCCAUUUAAAGUGGUACGCGAGCUGGGUUUAGAACGUCGUGAGACAGUUCGGUCCCUAUCUGCCGUGGGCGCUGGAGAACUGAGGGGGGCUGCUCCUAGUACGAGAGGACCGGAGUGGACGCAUCACUGGUGUUCGGGUUGUCAUGCCAAUGGCACUGCCCGGUAGCUAAAUGCGGAAGAGAUAAGUGCUGAAAGCAUCUAAGCACGAAACUUGCCCCGAGAUGAGUUCUCCCUGACUCCUUGAGAGUCCUGAAGGAACGUUGAAGACGACGACGUUGAUAGGCCGGGUGUGUAAGCGCAGCGAUGCGUUGAGCUAACCGGUACUAAUGAACCGUGAGGCUUAACCUU
rnacentral:rRNA from 1 species